ensembl:snRNA
GUUUUAUAUGAAAGAAGAGAAGGCUACCACUCCCCUUGACAAGGAUGGAAGAGCCCUUAGGUCUUACAACAUGCAUACAGUUAAGGCAUUGUCACCUACUUUGUGACAUCUAAUCACUGUAUGCA